AUGGCUCUCGCUCCCGCUCCGCCCUCCCUGCCGGCCACCCCGCCGGCCUCUGGCAACGCCCCAGCCACCAAAAACCUGCCGGACACCCCUACACCUGACCUACCUCUUUCCACAAACCCCCUAAACGAGCUCAUACCAUCUGUGGCUCAACCACCUUCGCCAUUCUUCGACCUACCUUAUGUCAAGGCCGGGCAGGUUGCGCUCCGCUGCUUCCUAGGCUGCGGCAACGCCAUGGGCUUGGAGUUUGAAGAUGAUUGCUCCUACUACCUCCGCCUUGCCAUCACCACCCCGGCCCUCCACCUCGCCUCACCGCUCUACAUCGCCUUCGGCUACUCCAACCGUCACCUCGACGCCAUACCUCAUGGUUGCCGAAUGUACGCGCGUGUAAUCCAAUUUCCCUUCACUCUCAACGCCACGACCAUGGCCCUUGUCCUCGCUCACUUGUUUGGGGACUCCUACCUCCAAUUCGAUGUCACUGACGACGGAGACUCCUGCUUCUCCUUCACCGUUGCAUCGCCUGCAGUAGCCAAAAUGAUCGCCUCCAUGGGUGACUACCGCAAGAGGGGCAUGUUGAUCCGCUUCCCCUGGCCUAUGCUCAUGAGUGGUGCCCGACGCCUUCUUCGUGCUGAUGCCAAGCCCCCGUCGCUUGGUUCUACGUCUUCCUCUUCGUUGCCGGUCGUCUCUACAUCACUGCCACCAGCGCCUUCAACUCUGGAUCUGCCUAAGCUUCCACCUCAUGUGCACUACACUCACCAUACACAUCCGUUUUGGAUUACUUUCAUGCCAAUCUCUGUCAGACCUAAUGAACUACGAGUGGAAUCAGCCCUAAACCACUCCGUUCAACAAGAUUUCCACGCAAUUAAGGUUCAUGAUCUAAUUUUUAAAUCUGGCGUCUCCUCCCGCCCAGUCAAAUUUGAAAUUCUCAAGUUGGGGCCUCUUGACUUUGACGGGUUUCGUCUUUUUCUUUUUGACCAGCUCGAUCUAGCCGUUGCCCACUGCAGCCGUUACCCACAAUCUUAUUUUUCCUACUCCUUCUCCUCGCUGCCCACACGUCCUGGGUCCAUACUUGGGCCUUACACCCAUCACCACCAGCCACUCCAUGCACCGAUACGGCCGACCCUCGUGUCCACGGCAUCGCUGCACGGCCGGUCAGCUCUGCAUGCAUUGCGGUCCCACAGCAUGCACAAUGAUGAAAGCGCCGCGUCCCCCGACAGACCAAAUCCUACAAAAGAUCCGUACUUACCACAUGAUGCCGCGCAUGCGGGCGAGGUGCGCGCAGGAACCAAUAACCCCCCAUCGGUCUCUCUGUCUGUGCAAAAAUUGGACACCCCACCUGACCCACGCGCGUCUAAUCCAGGCGCCAACGCGCCGCCUCCUGUCUCCCCACACGCCGCCCCGUAUGAGCCCGGCAGCUCAUCGUCCGCUGUGGACGCCGAUCCACGCACCCUCAUGAUCGGACAGAUCCCCGUCAUCCUCUCCGAGCCAUUCCCCGCUGUAUGUGUGUCGUCCCCCUUCAUCCUCCACGGCGUCCCUGUUGGCGCCAAUGGCGUCCCACUCCCUCCCAACUCGCCGCCAUGCUCCUCAGCACCUUCCCCCACUCCCACCACCCCACCCCACGAUCCCAUGCACACACACUCCUCCCCCUUCGACACCCAGAAGCUGAGAGAUCGCCUCGCCGACUUGCCUCGCCCUUUCCAUGACGCUGGGCCGCUGCCUCCCUAUGGAGACAUGCCUCUCGUCGCCGCGCCACCUUGCCUAGUGCACUGCCCAUGCCGUUUCGCCUUUGCCCACCUCCGAACACCUGACCCCAACCCCGCUCCACUCAUCCGCCGUGCUAUCCAGCUUACGUGCGGCAACCCCGCCUUCAUUAUGGGUGGCUCAUGGCGUGGGGUUGCUUGCCUCACCUUCCACACCCCCUCUGCCCGCAAUGAUGUCGUACGCCACAACCAUAUAGAUUUUGAAGGUAACUCCAUCACCAUCGAGCCGGUCGAGCACGUCGACCGCUCCAUUGCCAUCUUCACUGACCUCGCCGAAAUCGAGGUAUCCGAGUUCCCGCACGAACUUUGGCACAACGACGACAUUCGCUUCGCCUUGGCUUUCCUCGGCGACGUACGUGCCGUUGAUGACUUCUGCCUGCAUGGCAUUGAUUACACAUCUGUUCGCGCCUUGGUCCUGCUCCAGUCCGGCAAGCCAGCCCCGCCCGGCAUUGCCAUCCAGCUCCCUCCCAUCAACGAAAUCAAGAUAGCUAAAGUAGUGGAAAUCUCACACUGGCACCACGGUGAUGGCGCCAAUCCUUUCGGUGGCGACUCUUCUGACGGAGACUCCGCCCCUCUCUCUCAGCGUGGCUCCCCACGGCCCGCCUCCCCAGAACAACUCACCCCAGUCAUCUCUGCCAUUCGUGCUGGCUGGCGCGCCGACCCCACGUACGGUGGGACAUGCCCUGUGGCUGUCCGUGGAGCCGCACCUAUGGUCCCGGCCUCAUCUGGCCAUGGCAGCAAUGCAUCAGCCCUUCUCCUUCCUUCGCCUCCACCUGGUUCCGUGCACCAGCCCCUUGUCAUCUUCGACGACGAAUCUGUCGGCUCUGAGGACAUGCUUGCCCCGCUCCUGCAUGCAGACCUGCCAAGGUCCAUGGACGUGGUGCAUGCACUCGUGGGGGGCUCCUCGGGCCCUCUUGUCAUCCGGCCUUCGCCGCUGGUCGGGGCUGUGGCCCCGCCAUCACCGCCUUCGCUCCAUGCGGACGCUGCUCCGCCUGUUCGCCUGCUCACUCCCUCUGACACCUCUGCCUUUACGGCGGUCGUGUCGGAGGCUCCUGACACGGCAAUCGUCCCCAACUUUACCUUUUCGGCCGGCGAAUCGUACCGUACUGCUGGUAAACGCUGCCUCUCCAUGAUCUGGACACCCAUGAGUGUACCAUUCGUAAGGAACGCCGUAAGACGGCCCGUGACUAGUCCUGCUCCAAGGACAAGCUGCGCCGCAGCGCACGGCUCGCUGGCAAGGAGGCCCGAUACUCGCCUAUGCUCGCCAAGGCGGUCAAGGCCAAGGCAGCCCGCCUAUCUGCUGCGGACGUGGGCACGGCUAUCGACCGCGCCAUCCAUGAGGCUCACCUUGACGUCUCCGAUCGUCCUCCGGCCUCAGCUGAAGAUCUCGCUGCCAUCGCCCUGCUUUGCGGGGCGGAUGAUGGCCAGGUUGACGCCAUCCUCGAAGCUGAUGACUCGGCCUCCGGAUAAAUGCUCCAACGUCCUCUCUGAACUAAUCUCAAUCAAUCCACAUAUGGCCCUACUACAAGAAUCCAAACGUGUCACGCUACCGGAUCCAAAACUAAGCUCAUUCAUGCCCCGUCAGCUUGAUCAAGUUUUUACCUUACCUGCUGUAGGAACUGCAGGUGGCACCAUCUCUGCCGUUAACUCCACCAUACAAAACAAUGAUGCUUUUAGACACACCGAGGCCAAUGCUUUCAACCAAACAAUUGAUACACUUGCCCUCAUCGAGUUACCACUUCUAGACCGCCAAUUCACUUGGUCUAACAACAGAACCACACCCACCCUAGAACGCAUCGACCGCGCCUUCUUCAACUUAGCCUGGGCUGAUGCCUUCCCCAACUCCUCACUCACAUCCCUCACGCGUUUCACGUCUGAUCACGUCCCCCUCAUCAUCCACGUCACCACAACAAUCUCGCGCUCAAACUUCUUUAAAUUCGAAUCUGCUUGGGCCAAUUUGCAGCCCUGCCGAGAUAUCAUCUCCUCGGUUUGGGCCUCACAUCGGCCCACUUCACCGCCCAACUCUGCCACCUCCCUCGCCACACUGCUCAAGCAAACCCGGGCCGUGCUUAAAAAAUGGGCCCGCUUGCGCCUUCCCGCCCCCUCCGCGAAUCUCGCUGCAAAUUUGCCAUCUCUGCUCUCGACCACCACCAUUCUAGAAAAAAUGUCCUACUGGAAAUGGCGUGCCAAAGUGUCCCGAGCAAUUCAUGGCAGUGAAAACUCCAAGUUCUUCCACAUGUCCACCUCACAACGGCUUAGAAAAAACAAAAUCUUCUCCCUCACUCGAGACGGCUCGGUUUUUACCUCGCAUCACCAAAAAGCUGACAUCCUGCGAGAAUUUUUCGUCACGCUCAUCGGCUCUACUGUCUCCACGACUUGGCCUUUUGAUCUCGCGUCGAUCUACCCCCACCCCGUACCUGGUCUUCAUGCCCUUGACGCACAUUUCACCGAAGAUGAGAUCAAACUAGCAUUCUUCCAAAUGAACCCACAAGCAAGCCCCGGCCCCGAUGGUUUCGGCCCAUCCUUCUAUAAAACCUUCUGGCCCUCUAUCAAGCAGGUAAUACUCUCCUUCUUCGCACAAUUUCACCAAGGUAUGGCAGACACAGAGCGUCUAAACCGUGCCCAUAUUGCUCUCCUUCCAAAAUCUGCCUCCUCACCUUCACCUGACGCCUUCAGACCAAUUUCCUUGCAAAACUGCCCGGUCAAAGAUGUUGCCAAGGUUCUAACUUCGCGCCUCAAACCCUUCAUCCCUCAGCUCGUCCAUGGUAAUCAGACUGGCUUCAUCACCGGUAGGAACAUUGCUGAAAACUACGUCUUUGCAGCAGAUCUUAUCAGCUCUUGUCACUCUCGCAAACGCCCAACCAUGAUCUUCAAACUUGACUUCAGAAAGGCAUUUGAUUCGGUCGCCUGGAACGCCCUAGACAAAAUCCUGGCUGUCCGUGGCUUCUCCCAAACUUUUCGUGGUUGGAUUCAGAAUAUCCUCCAUACUGGCAAGACUGCCAUCCUCCUAAACGGCAUUCCAGGUCGUUGGAUCCCAUGCAAGAAUGGCCUGCGUCAGGGUGACCCGGCCUCCCCCUACCUCUUCCUAACUAACUUUGCUCAAGCUACUGGCCUCACCAUAAACUUCUCCAAAACAACCCUAGCAACCCUGCACGUCAAUGAAAACCUAGCUGCCAACACGGCCCUCGCCAUGGAUUGCUUGCGUGCCCCCUUCCUCAAACCUAUCUUGGACUCCCCUCGCUCCGACCAAGCCUCCAUCCACUGCCUUCGCCCCGUUAAUCGAACGAUCUCGAAAACUUCUCACUGGUUGGCAUGCCAAGCUCCUAGACAGAGGCGAUCGACUCAUCCUCAUCUCGGCCUUUGCGGUCAAAGCCCUCUCACCCACACCAUCAACGUGGCUCGAUUGGCUAGAGCUUCAACACCCCAAUGCCCUAGUCUCCUCGGGCCCCCAAACCUCUUUCCUAUGCCGCACGAUUGCUCAACAAAUCCCAACCUUACAGUCAAUUUCCUUCGUUUUAACAAACAGUGGAACACACACUUACUUCUGAACUUCGCGCCUUUGACAGAGGAAGAUCAACGGUUCCUCCUUAAGGGUCAUGACUUCUCCACCAAGCAAGCUUACAUCACCAUUAUGGCAAGGCCAGAAACGGACCUCAUCGCUCCUCUCAUCUGGAACACCAAGGCUCCACGCAAGAUCAAGAUCUUCGCUUGGCUACUCUUUAAGGAUCGCCUGAACACCACCGAUUCCAUUCACCUCUUCAUCUCUUGCCCCCUCGCCAACAGAAUCUGGCAGAGAGUUGGCAUUCUGCCUCAAGAUGAAGACCUCAAUGAACUUUGGGACAUCCCACUACCUCACCACCUGCCCAAGAACGCAUGGCCCUUCGUCCUUCUUGCGCUAUUCUCCUUCAUAUGGGCCGCGAGAAAUGAUAUGCUCUUUAGAAAUGUUGAUCAAUGUUCUGUAAUAACUAUUAGGAACCUAGUAGCAGACUUGGAUCUUUGGUCACACCGUUUUGUUGAUACGGGUGACAAGGAGGACGUCUCCUCGUGGCGUACCUACCUCUCUGUACGAUGCACUGUGCCUCUGUAG
rnacentral:rRNA from 1 species